AUUGAACGCUGGCGGCAGGCUUAACACAUGCAAGUCGAACGAGUGGCGGACGGGUGAGUAAUGCUUGGGAAUCUAGCUUAUGGAGGGGGAUAACUACGGGAAACUGUAGAUAAUACCGCGUACCAUAGGAUGAGCUCAAGUGGGAUUAGGUAGUUGGUGAGGUAAAGGCUCAACAAGGCGACGAUCUCUAGCUGGUCUGAGAUGAUGACCGGUCACACUGGGACUGAGAAACGGCCACAACUCCAACGGGAGGCAGCAGUGGAGAAUAUUGCACAAUGGGGGCAACCUGACGCAGCCAGGCCGCGUGAAUGAAGAAGGCAUUCGGGUUGUAAAGUUCUUUCGGUAGCGAGGCGUUACCUACAGAAGAAGCACCGGCUAACUCCGUGCCAGCAGCCGCGGUAAUAC
rnacentral:rRNA from 1 species